GGCUUAGAAGCAGCCACUCAUUUAAAGAGUGCGUAAUAGCUCACUGGUCGAGUGACUCUGCGCCGAAAAUUCAACGGGGCUAAAACCUGCACCGAAGCUUAGGCAUCCGCAAGGAUGGGUAGGGGAGCGUUGUGUACGAGGCGAAGCAUUAGCGAAAGCGGAUGUGGAUUGUACACAAGUGAGAAUGCCGGAAUAAGUAGCGCGAAUGAUGUGAGAAUCAUCAUGGCCGAAAGCCUCAGGUUUUUGGAGGAAGGUUCGUCCGCUCCAAGUUAGCCGGGAGCUAAGGUGAGGCCGAAAGGCGUAGCCGAUGCACAUACGGUAGAGAUUCCGUAGCCGCCGAAAGAUUUAAGCAGGGGGACACAUUUGAAGUGUUGGUGCCGGGUGUUGGUUUACCCGGUCGAAAGGGACUGAAAUUUAGUAGGGAAGUCCAGCAUGGAGAGUGGCGAGAAAAGCCCUGUGUAUAUCUAAGGCGCCCGUACCGCAAACCGACACAGGUAGGUAGGAAGAAGAUUCUAAGGCCAACGGGAGAAGGGUUGUUAAGGAACUCGGCAAGUUGACCCCGUAACUUCGGGAGAAGGGGUGCUCAUGAAAGUGAGCCGCAGAGAAUAGGCCCAAGCAACUGUUUAGCAAAAACACAGGUCUGUGCUAAAUCGAAAGAUGACGUAUACGGGCUGACACCUGCCCGGUGCUGGAAGGUUAAGGGGAUGUGUGCAAGCACUGAACCGAAGCCCCAGUAAACGGCGGCCGUAACUAUAACGGUCCUAAGGUAGCGAAAUUCCUUGUCAGGUAAGUUCUGACCCGCACGAAUGGCGUAAUGAUUUGGGCACUGUCUCAACAGCCCGCCCGGCGAAAUUGUAGUACCGGUGAAGAUGCCGGUUUCCCGCGACAAGACGGAAAGACCCCAUGGAGCUUUACUGCAGCCUAAUAUUGGGUUUCGAUAUUACAUGUACAGGAUAUGUGGGAGACAUGGAAGCACGGGCGUCAGCCUGUGUGGAGUCAGCCUUGGGAUACCACACUUGUGAUAUUGGAAUUCUAACCUGCGGCCCUGAAUCGGGUCGGGGGACAUUGUUAGGCGGGCAGUUUGACUGGGGCGGUCGCCUCCGAAAAAGUAACGGAGGCGUUCAAAGGUUGGCUCAGCUUGGACGGAAACCAAGCCAAAGAGUGCAAACGCAUAAGCCAGCCUAACUGCGAGACUGACGGGUCGAGCAGUAACGAAAGUU
rnacentral:rRNA from 1 species